CACAUGCAAGGCGAACGAGUCUUCGGGUGAGUGCCAGGCGGGUGACUUACGCGUGAGAAUCUGCCCUCAGGAGGGGGAUAGCGGCCGGAAACGGCCGCUAAUACCCCAUAUGCCGAGAGGUGAAACGAAUUUCGCCUGGGGAUGAGCUCGCGUCUGAUUAGCUAGUUGGUGAGGUAAUGGCUCACCAAGGCUUCGAUCAGUAGCUGGUCUGAGAGGAUGAUCAGCCACACUGGGACUGAGACACGGCCCAGACUCCUACGGGAGGCAGCAGUGGGGAAUUUUCCGCAAUGGGCGCAAGCCUGACGGAGCAACGCCGCGUGAGGGACGAAGGCCUCUGGGCUGUAAACCUCUUUUCUCAAGGAAGAAGACAUGACGGUACUUGAGGAAUAAGCCACGGCUAAUUCCGUGCCAGCAGCCGCGGUAAUACGGGAGUGGCAAGCGUUAUCCGGAAUUAUUGGGCGUAAAGCGUCCGCAGGCGGCCUUGAAAGUCUGUUGUUAAAGCGUGGAGCUCAACUCCAUUUAAGCGAUGGAAACUGCAAGGCUAGAGUGUGGUAGGGGCAGAGGGAAUUCCCGGUGUAGCGGUGAAAUGCGUAGAUAUCGGGAAGAACACCAGUGGCGAAGGCGCUCUGCUGGGCCAUAACUGACGCUCAUGGACGAAAGCCAGGGGAGCGAAAGGGAUUAGAUACCCCUGUAGUCCUGGCCGUAAACGAUGAACACUAGGUGUCGGGGGAAUCGACCCCCUCGGUGUCGUAGCCAACGCGUUAAGUGUUCCGCCUGGGGAGUACGCAC
rnacentral:rRNA from 1 species